GGCAAGAUGGCCGAGUGGUUAAGGCGCAACGUUCAGGUUUCGUGCUGAAAUUUUCUUUCCGUUGUCUUCGGGCGUGGGUUCGAAUCCCACUCUUGUCA
rfam:Tstilago hordei, Th4857-4, WGS project CAGI01000000 data, contig: THOR_scaffold_5.00059